rnacentral:rRNA from 1 species
AGCGUAGACGGAUGGACAAGUCUGAUGUGAAAGGCUGGGGCUCAACCCCGGGACUGCAUUGGAAACUGCCCGUCUUGAGUGCCGGAGAGGUAAGCGGAAUUCCUAGUGUAGCGGUGAAAUGCGUAGAUAUUAGGAGGAACACCAGUGGCGAAGGCGGCUUACUGGACGGUAACUGACGCUGAGGCGCGAAAGCGUGGGGAGCAAACA